AUUGAACGCUGGCGGCAUGCCUUACACAUGCAAGUCGAACGGUAACGGGCCUUCGGGUGCCGACGAGUGGCGAACGGGUGAGUAAUACAUCGGAACGUGCCCGAUCGUGGGGGAUAACGAGGCGAAAGCUUUGCUAAUACCGCAUACGAUCUACGGAUGAAAGCAGGGGACCGCAAGGCCUUGCGCGGACGGAGCGGCCGAUGGCGGAUUAGGUAGUUGGUGGGGUAAAAGCUUACCAAGCCGACGAUCUGUAGCUGGUCUGAGAGGAUGAUCAGCCACACUGGGACUGAGACACGGCCCAGACUCCUACGGGAGGCAGCAGUGGGGAAUUUUGGACAAUGGGCGCAAGCCUGAUCCAGCCAUGCCGCGUGCAGGAUGAAGGCCUUCGGGUUGUAAACUGCUUUUGUACGGAACGAAAAGCAUUCUUUUAAUACAGGAGGGUCAUGACGGUACCGUAAGAAUAAGCACCGGCUAACUACGUG
rnacentral:rRNA from 1 species